rnacentral:rRNA from 1 species
GACGAACGCUGGCGGCGUGCUUAACACAUGCAAGUCGAACGGAAAGGCCCUGCUUUUGUGGGGUGCUCGAGUGGCGAACGGGUGAGUAACACGUGAGUAACCUGCCCUUGACUUUGGGAUAACUUCAGGAAACUGGGGCUAAUACCGGAUUGGGGCUCCUGCUGCAUGGUGGGGGUUGGAAAGUUUCGGCGGUUGGGGAUGGACUCGCGGCUUAUCAGCUUGUUGGUGGGGUAGUGGCUUACCAAGGCUUUGACGGGUAGCCGGCCUGAGAGGGUGACCGGCCACAUUGGGACUGAGAUACGGCCCAGACUCCUACGGGAGGCAGCAGUGGGGAAUAUUGCACAAUGGGCGGAAGCCUGAUGCAGCAACGCCGCGUGCGGGAUGACGGCCUUCGGGUUGUAAACCGCUUUCGCCUGUGACGAAGCGUGAGUGACGGUAAUGGGUAAAGAAGCACCGGCUAACUACGUG